rnacentral:lncRNA from 1 species
UACUGGUCCGAGACCACAAUUGUCGUCCCUUGAUUUUCGUUGUUCACGAAUAUAGUCCCUAGUGUUAACAGUGGGUUACUUGCCAAUAAUUUUUAUACCCCUUCCAAAUUUAUUUCUCCAUGUUCAAUGCCUCAAAUUGCAAGUAGGGGGAUGAAAUUACACUGUAAAAAAAAUUGGGUCCAGAAUUUUAAAGGAAAGUAGUGAUUCGGUCCAGCUGAAAAAGGUUAAAAAUUAGCACUUCGGAAGCUGUCAAAAGAUUUCAAGACACCCUAAACACAAAAUUGUCCAUAUUUUGAGUUUGAGGCGAUGAAGUUUUCUAUAAUUUUGAUAUAAUUUGUCCCAAAAGUAGUACAACACACUGUAAGAAUUUCAUUGAGAAAGCGCAGGUGGGAUUUUUUUAAUUUUCAUUAAUGUUCUAAAAGAAAUGCACUACGAAUUAAUUGUGUUCUCGGACCUACUGUAU